rnacentral:rRNA from 1 species
AUUGAACGCUGGCGGCAUGCCUUACACAUGCAAGUCGAACGGUAACAGGUCUUCGGAUGCUGACGAGUGGCGAACGGGUGAGUAAUACAUCGGAACGUGCCCGAUCGUGGGGGAUAACGGAGCGAAAGCUUUGCUAAUACCGCAUACGAUCUACGGAUGAAAGCAGGGGACCGCAAGGCCUUGCGCGGGCGGAGCGGCCGAUGGCAGAUUAGGUAGUUGGUGGGAUAAAAGCUUACCAAGCCGACGAUCUGUAGCUGGUCUGAGAGGACGACCAGCCACACUGGGACUGAGACACGGCCCAGACUCCUACGGGAGGCAGCAGUGGGGAAUUUUGGACAAUGGGCGAAAGCCUGAUCCAGCCAUGCCGCGUGCAGGAUGAAGGCCUUCGGGUUGUAAACUGCUUUUGUACGGAACGAAAAGACUCUUUCUAAUAAAGAGGGUCCAUGACGGUACCGUAAGAAUAAGCACCGGCUAACUACGUG